UUACGAGGUCAGGACACUGUGAGGAUUGACAGAUUGAAAGCUCUUUCUUGAUUCAGUGGGUGGUGGUGCAUGGCCGUUCUUAGUUGGUGGAGUGAUUUGUCUGGUUAAUUCCGUUAGCGAACGAGACCUUAACCUGCUAAAUAGUCACGCGAACCGGUCCGCAAGGGCUCAAAGUUCKCGGCUCGACUUCUUAGAGGGACUAUUCGCACCCGCCAGCGAAUGGAAGUUUGAGGCAAUAACAGGUCUGUGAUGCCCUUAGAUGUUCUCGGCCGCACGCGCGUUACACUGACGGAGUCAACGAGCGUUUUUCCUUGCCCGACAGGGCUGGGUAACCUCCUGAAACUCCGUCGUGAUGGGGAUAGAUCAUUGCAAUUAUUGAUCUUGAACGAGGAAUUCCUAGUAAGCGCGAGUCAUCAACUCGCGCUGAUUACGUCCCUGCCCUUUGUACACACCGCCCGUCGCUCCUACCGAUUGAACGGUCCGGCGAGAACUCCGGAUGGUC
rnacentral:rRNA from 1 species